UUCGCCUGGGGACAACGAGCUUUAGCUUAAAAUCCAAAGGACUUGGCGGUGCUUUAGACCCCCCUAGAGGAGCCUGUUCUGUAAUCGAUACUCCCCGCUAAACCUUACCUCCUCUUGCAAUUUCAGCCUAUAUACCGCCGUCUUCAGCUUACCCUGUGAAGGACUAAUAGUAAGCAAAAUCGGUAGAACCCAACACGUCAGGUCAAGGUGUAGCCCAUGAGGAGGGCUAGAAAUGGGCUACAUUUGCUGACUCAGCAAACACGGAGGCCGCCCUGCAAAUGGGUGUCUGAAGGUGGAUUUAGCAGUAAGGGGGAAAUAGAGAGCCCCCCUGAAGCAGGCCCUGAAGCGCGUACACACCGCCCGUCACUCUCCCCUAGCAAGCCCCAAACAAUAAAUAAUGAUACAGCAAAAACCGAGGGGGGGCAAGUCGUAACAUGGUAAGCAUACCGGAAGGUGUGCUUGGACAAACCC
rnacentral:rRNA from 1 species